CGGAUUUUGAUGGACUCAGAAGGAGGGUGGGAAGGAUGAAAUGGUUGAAUGUACUAAAGGAUAGAAAUGUCCAAGAAGGAUGGGAUACUUUGCGAAAUGCAAUACUAGAUGCACAAUCUUUAACAAUUCCUCAAAGAAAGAAGAACGGAAGCAUCUAAAGAGACCAGGGUGGAUAAACCCAAAACUUAAAAACUUGCUAAAGAGGAAAAAAGAAAUGUUCAAGAAAUGGAAGGAGGGGUAUAUAUCUAAAGAAGAAUAUAAUGUAGUCUGCACAAACUGCAGGGCAAGUAUCAGAAAAGCUAAAGCUAGAAAUGAAUUGAGGCUUGCAAGAGAGACUAAAAACAAUAAAAAGGGGUUUUGGGGAUAUGUCAAAAGCAAAAGAAAAGUUAAAGAGGCUAUAGGAUGUUUACAGAGUGAAAANGGUGAAUUGAUAAAAAAUGAUAUUGAGAAGGCUGAGCUUCUGAACUCCUAUUUUGUAUCUAUUUUCUCUAAGAAAGAUAGCGUAACAGCGACUGACCUUCGUUGUGCUAGUGAAGGAAUAAGAGAAUCAAAGCACAUAAUCGAAACAGAGAGGGUAAGGGAAUACUUAGCUAAUUUAAAUGAAUUUAAGUCUCCAGGUCCAGAUGGAUUACAUCCUAGGGUACUGAAGGAAUUAGCAGGGGUUAUUGCUGAACCACUUGCUGUAAUCUUUGAAAAUUCAUGGAGAACAGGAGAAGUCCCAGAUGAUUGGAGAAGGGCAAACGUUGUCCCUAUCUUCAAAAAAGGGAAGAAGGCGGACCCAGGGAACUACAGGCCUGUUAGCCUGACUUCAAUACCAGGAAAGAUUUUUGAACAAAGUAUUAAACAACAUGUAUGCCAGCAUUUGGAUGGGAAUUCAGUAAUUAACCGUAGUCAACAUGGGUUUGUAACAAACAAGUCAUGUCAGACUAAUCUAAUUUCAUUCUAUGACAAAAUCACUGAAUGGGUUGAUCAGGGAAAUGCCAUAGACAUAGUAUAUCUUGACUUCAGCA
rnacentral:lncRNA from 1 species